AGCUGUUUUGGGACUACAAUUCCCAUCAUCCCUAACCACUGGUCCUGUUAGCUAGGGAUGAUGGGAGUUGUAGUCCCAAAACAUCA
rnacentral:miRNA from 1 species